rnacentral:rRNA from 1 species
AGAGUUUGAUCCUGGCUCAGAACGAACGUUGGCGGCGUGGAUUAGGCAUGCAAGUCGAGCGAGAAAAUCACCUUCGGGUGGUGAGUACAGCGGCGAACGGGUGAGUAACGCGUGGGAAACCUGCCCUCAGGUGGGGAAUAACACUCCUAACGGGGUGCUAAUACCGCAUGUGGCAACUGGAUCGCAUGUUCCGGUUGUCAAAGGUGGCCUCUGUUUCAAGCUGCCGCCCGAGGAUGGUCCCGCGUCCGAUUAGCUUG